rnacentral:lncRNA from 1 species
CUGAGAGGUGCUGGCCUCAGCUAAGCCUCCAUCCGCCGAGGGCCCCCACCUCCAUGCUGCAGACCAGGGUUCCUCUUUGUGAGGCCGGGCGACCUUCAGGCUGCUGUGAAGACGGCAGGGACUUGCUCGAGCCCGCCACAGCCCCCACCCUGGGGCAGCCAUGACAGGGCCCCAGGCCCACUGCCCCUGUCCCCGCUGCCCUGCACCAUGGCCUGGGCUAAGAUCAGGGCUUAGCAGCGGGCGUGGUGCAGGCACAGCCCUGGGUCCAGCCUGAUUUCCCCUUGGCCUUCUGAGAAGGAAGGAAUCAUGUCCCUCUCCCUCCAGAAAAGGUUCUGGGUCCUCUUUCACCAAACCAACCACAUGUGAGAAGAGAAACUCCAGAGAGAAGCCAUUUGGACCCAGAGACUUUAUCAAGUUGCUUGACACCUGCAGGAAGGCUUUCACCUUCUCCAGGGGGUCUUUGAUGAAAGCAUUCUGGGGAACAGGAGGCUACAUCCAUGCCCUCUCCCCCAGAAGCCCAGGGACAAUGCACAGCAAGUGGGAAAAGCCACCUCCCGCGGACCAGAGAUGCUUGAAACAUGGGGUUUUUCAGCCUCAGCACCACUGACAUUUGGGACGGAUCAUUCUCCCUGCUGUGGCCACCCCAUGCACUGCAGGCAGCUGAGCAGCAUCCUCGGCCUCCACCCGUGAGAGACCUGCACCACCCACCUCCGACGCCACCACCCAAAGCCUCUGCAGACACUUCCCGGUGUCCCCGGAUGGCAAAACUGGCCUGUGGAGGACCAGCGACCUGCCCCAGUGUUUACUGUGUGUGCAAAUACUCUCUGAGCCCCUGUAUGUGCCCGAGCUUGCCUGAGGUCUAGUGUGGCUGUGGCCAGUGGUGACACUAGAAAAAAACAGCAAACACGGGGCCUCGGCAUGCACCAAACUGGGCCAGAACCCACCGCAGCCAUGAGCUCUGGAACCCGCACUGCAAACAUGAGACCUCACCGUGCACCAACCUGGGCUGGAACCCACUGCAGCCGUGAACUCUGGAACCCACACAGCAAACAUGAGGCCUCACCAUGCACCAACCUGGGCUGGAACCCACUGCAGACGUGAACUCUGGAACCCACACAGCAAACAUUGGAGGGAAACACUGUCACUUCUACUUUACAGGCAUAAACACUGAAGUGCAGAGCAUUUGGGUGCAUCAGAAUUUUAACUCUUCAGCCCUGCAGGCCUCGCUUUCAGACAUUCUGCUUCAGUAGGGCUGGAAGGGGUCCUGGGGAGCCCCACUGCAGGGAACCAGAAACCAACUGGAAGAGCCGGUGUCCAGCAGGCCCCAGAGCUCCUCAGAGCCUCAGAUGGGGUUGGAGGGCCUUCCCCUGCUCCAUCCUUCCCCCAAAUACUGGUUGUUCCUUUCAUUCAAUAGAUGCUCAAAUCUUACACAAUUUAAACAGACAUUCCUAAGAGCACUGUAUUUGCAUGUAAUUUGACUGUUUUCUUGUAGUAGUUGUAAAAGGGGAAGGAAAAUCUAUUCCAGUUAAUUGUAGGUUCUGUGGAACUGGAGUUAGAUCACAUCACUAUUGAAACCAGCUUAUUAUUGAUCGGAAAUGUGACAGGCCUGGGUCCACGGGCACACGUGUUGCCAGAAGCCUUUGUCACUCCAUGGCUGACAUCUCUGCAUUGUUUUUCAGCUGGUAAUUCCUUAAAAGACUGAGACAAUAGUCAUUUAAUAUCGUUUGCUCAAAUGAACAGUUCCCCGAGCAAAUAACAAUAAUAAAAAAAAGUCCCUGAGAAGCCAAUUAGACUCUGCAGCUUGUACCAAGCAAUGGCCUUUCUAAUAGACGCCCUUUUUACAAGUGCAG